CCUACGGGUGGCAGCAGUGAGGAAUAUUGGUCAAUGGACGAAAGUCUGAACCAGCCAUGCCGCGUGCAGGAAGACGGCUCUAUGAGUUGUAAACUGCUUUUGUCGGGGAGCAAGGCCCGCCACGUGUGGCGGGAAGGAGAGUACCCGAAGAAAAAGCAUCGGCUAACUCCGUGCCAGCAGCCGCGGUAAUACGGAGGAUGCGAGCGUUAUCCGGAUUUAUUGGGUUUAAAGGGUGCGUAGGCGGAAGGUUAAGUCAGCGGUCAAAUGUCGGUGCUCAACACCGGCCUGCCGUUGAAACUGGUCUUCUUGAGUGAGCGAGAAGUAUGCGGAAUGCGUGGUGUAGCGGUGAAAUGCAUAGAUAUCACGCAGAACUCCGAUUGCGAAGGCAGCAUACCGGCGCUCAACUGACGCUGAGGCACGAAAGCGUGGGGAUCGAACAGGAUUAGAUACCCUUGUAGUC
rnacentral:rRNA from 1 species